AGCCCGGUGGUGUAGUGGCCAAGCAUCUGGGGCCUUGAAUCGCGAACACGGUUCGAAUCCGUGCCGGGCUA
rnacentral:tRNA from 1 species